CAACUCUGGAAUUCCACCACGGCGAGAGGCGGAAGCAGAGUCGACAGGGGAGCGGCAGCCAUCGAUCCUGCGCCACGAGGAUGCAAAAUGUUACAAAGAGGUCACAGAUCCUCACUACACGGAGUGGGACUCUUUUCCAGCCUGCGACCACCCUUCCCCAGUUCAAAGUCUUUGUCUUCCAGUUACUGUGACAAGCUCUGUCCUUGACUCCAUGGGUUCCACGUUUCCUGGCGGCUUUCGCUAGCCUCAGAGGCUCACUGUGACCUUCCACAUAACCCUUCUCUGUCUAGAGACAAGGGUCACAGUCUACUGAGCCAUUUUCAUCAUAAGCCAGCGAGGGAGGACUCCAGGGUUUCAUCACUGAGGCUCUGCUUGUUUUUCCUGGAACUAAAUACUCCUCCACUGAAACGAAGAACAGCGUGGAUGGAGGGCCACAUCGGGAUUGCGAAAUGGUAUUGAGGACCGGAUAUAGGAAAAUAGCAAGUGGAGAAACAACAAACAUAAAUCUCCUUGGAAGAGAGCAAACACAGUGACUGUCUUGGUGACAUGCGGCAUCUGAACUGAAACAGAAGAAGGCAGCUUGCCUUCCAGCUGCUCCCACAGCACACAAGAUGGCUCUUCAACAGCGAAAGGUGCAGACCACAGACAACAUGAUGACAGCUUCUCCCUUCAGUUACAUAGCUUUGACUCCUCCCCUGCAAUUCAUUAACUUAUACAUGUUUAGUCUUCUGGGAGGUUUGCAUUUACAUUAUGUCUAAAGGUAUCAGUCAUGAAGGGCGUUUGACACUUGUUCCUCAUGGCCAUCAUUAGGUCCACCAAUUAGACUAAUAUCUUCUUUAGGCCAAUAAAAACAGACCCAUUUUCAAGUCAGUAAACAUAUUUACAUCAUCUUCAAUCUCCGGGCCUUUUCUGGACCUCUGCUGUAACAGCAGGACAAUAUGAUUCAUUAUUAUUACCUCCUUUAUCCAGGAAAUCCUGAUCCCAGUACCUUUCUGACAACUCUAUUCCCCACUGCUCCCAUCAUUUCAAAUCAGAACCCUCCCUUCCCCUCCCACCUUGCUAUCAGAAACAAUUGGGACAGUACCAGGGUGUCAGCGUGUUCCUCUGAAUUAUUGUAUCUCACAUGGUACUCAUGUGCAAUGGAGGUUGAAGCUCAUCUUUGCAUCACAGCUGCUGCCUAAAGUACAAUGCAUGCCUUUGAGCCCCAGAUUUUCUAGGGAAUGGUGAUAAAUUCUGAAUUUCUAAAACAUUAAUGAAAUUAAUUACUCCAAAUUAAUGCUAGUGCCUCUUCCUCUCCUUGAAAUUCCUCUUUACCUUUCACAAUGGUGUGUAAGUAAAUGCUCUGGGUUUUUCUCUCCAAUCUCUGUGGAAUAACAGCUUCCAUCCCUAGUAGGGAGACAUUGCAUACUAACAGAAAGGGACGUUUUGGAGUAUCCUGGAACCAUUUUUCCUUCUGCUACUUGAAUAGUAAUAUUUUGCCUCACUUAAUUUCUUAACAACCUUAACAUUGGGAUGAUGGAUUCUGAUACAUUUGUGAAAAACUGUCCGAUAGUUACUAGUUUAAUGUUGCCAAGAAAGAACUCAAGCUCUGAAUCAUUAUGCAGUUCAGGUACAUCCUGACAGGCAUGCGUCAUCUCUUUUUAAGGGAAAGAACCCCCUCUGCAAAUAUUCUAUGCCCCCUAAAAGCAACCUUUUCCCCAAUUUUUGUGGGGUGUGUAGGUAGGGGAAAGGCUAGCUUGGUGAAGGCUAUACCACUGCAGUGUGGAUUGUACCUGUUCUGGGCAUGAAUAGAGAACUUCACUCUUUAGGGUUUUUCAAUCUAGUUUGCCAAGCUGCCUGUCAAUCCUGCAGCUUUUGCUGCUGAGUGAUUGGAGACACCCUGCUUUUUUUGUAUGAGGAGUGGGAGAACCACCUGUACGGCCUCUAACUGCCCCAAUAAAGGAUCUUGGAAACAUACAGAUGUCUUUGCCCUUCCUCCAAAUAUUGCUCUGCUAGGGGAAAAUUCUGAGAGUAAGGAAAAUGGGCGCUGAAACAUGGUGGCUGUAAUAAUCAGAAUUCCUUUUGUCCCACCUGUGUGUCUACUGUACAGACUUUUUUAGCAAGCACCGCUUGCUGGGGCAUAGUCAUGGGGAAAAUCAUAGAGUGGAGAUUGACAUGAGACCAGAUUGGGCUUUAGAUUCUGCUUGAUGCGUCUCCUCCAGUAUCCCACGUGGAAGGUGGUAGCAGAAUUGCCAGGCAGCUUAGAUAUACUCCCUGCUCCUCCCUCAUGCUUGUGUGGUUCCCUUGCAGGCUCACCACCUUAGUAUACAAGUCUUUCACAUAAGACAAAUGCUACAUCUAUACUGCGACCAUGUUCAAUCUCAAACCCUGAUCUGGCUGGGAGUAAACAGAAGCCAGACGUCAAUUUCCAAAAUGUUGGGAACCAUUUAAGCAAUGUCUUGGAGGCGAGUGAUCUCAGCUUUCUCCCAGGCUUCCAGUUCUGCCACUGGGAUAGAACUGUCCAACCACUGCCAAAUACUAUCCCUAUCCCCAAAUGUUUAACCCUGUCACUGAGGUAAGUUACCGUCUAGUGGCUGUCCCACAGAGAAUAUAAUUCCUACUACUACUGACAGACAAUGCAGUAGAAACAGGUGGGUUUAUGAACCAAAGGUCCUGGGUUUUAUUCUCUAUUGUUGCAUAUAUGCGUUUGUAACUGAGGUGGUUGGGCCACGUGAUGCUGUAUUAUCCAAUAAAAUGUGAAACAUUGAAUUUUGAGAAGUUUUAUAUUUUAUGAUGAUGAUGACUUCAUACUCCUUUUAGGACAACCACAAUAAAUAGUUUUUCUAUUAACUAUUCUGGCCAGUAGAUGUCACUGUGGAAUCAUAGGCAUAUAAUAGCCAUUGCCCAUCCCUGGCUACAAAUGGCUGUUUGUGUAGGAUCAGGGAUAUCUCCUGUGUUAAAAGUUGAUAUCAUUUUCCUUGUUUAAAGCUUCAGGAUCAUCACACAGUGAUGGAGGUGGAAACCAAGAACAACCAUGUCUUCUUCUACCUGGAAAAGAUAAGCUUGGGGAAGAAUGUCCUUUUGUUUUUUGUUAUAUUUGGAGCAUGGACUCCCAAAUAAGUGAAAAAAACCACAUCAUCAGCAGGCAUCUCAGGAGAAAAUCAGUUUCUCUUUUUCAGUUGAGCAAAACCUUCCUGGGUCUGAUAUGAAACCUGCUGCAGUGCACACAUCUAUGACUGCUACGAAACAGAAGAGUAUGCUCUUGCUGAAUACAAUACGCCCUGCAGUCAGGCUUCAAGCUGAAACCAGCCAAGAGCCCGGAAAGGGUAACUGAGAGCAACAGAUAUUUGAUCGGAGAAAUGAAAGCUGUGAAUGUGAUUUUGAUCCCUACUUUCCUCUGUGACUGAGCUUGGAUAGGGCCAUUUCAAUAAAUGUCACACUCCAAAUUA